rnacentral:rRNA from 1 species
UACCUACGGGGGGCAGCAGUGAGAAAUAUUGGUCAAUGGCCGGAAGGCUGAACCAGCCAAGCCGCGUGAAGGACGAAGGUGCCAAGCAUUGUAAACUUCUUUUGUCAAGGGACAAAAUCAGGCUCGAGAGCCUGACCGAGGGUACUUGAAGAAAAAGCAUCGGCUAACUCCGUGCCAGCAGCCGCGGUAAUACGGAGGAUGCGAGCGUUAUCCGGAUUUAUUGGGUUUAAAGGGUGCGUAGGCGGAAUAUCAAGUCAGCGGUAAAAAUUCGGGGCUCAACCCCGUCGCGCCGUUGAAACUGAUGU